AGGGAGAGGGGAGAGGCCUAAAAGCCACAGAAGCUGUGGACGGCGCCGUCCUGCCUGCCACAGGAGGGGCCCUGGCUGAGAGGAUCGGAGCCCACCCAGGAUUAUUCAAAGCCAAAAGCCAACAGAGCCCCCAUGAAGAAGUGGAGGAUGCCCAGAUGCUGCUAUGAAGCCCUGAGGAGUGAAUGAGUCCAAGCCCUUGCCCAGGAUAGCGCUCUCCAAGCACAUCCUUCAGGGACCCUUCUAACCAGUGAAAUGUUCACCUCUCACUGUUUCUUCCCAACUGAGCUAAGAGACUUCUAGAGCCUCUUGUGAUGGUCAGCAAUAGCCCUGGCAUGACCAGGAGGUGUGGGUUUCUGUUCUAGGUCCCUUAGCAAAGACUAAGCAGGACAAGCCUGGCUACUCUGUUAGGAGGAGCCGUAGGGAAAGGGAAGGAUAAGAUGGGCCACGACACACCUGUGUCCCCUGCUGGGCUGCCCUCAGAGCGUCCAGGUUUGUGGCAGCAACUGGGGCCACCUAGAACUCUAGGGUUCAUAGUCAUUCUCUCUGAGUCAUGUAAAGCUGCCCAGGAGAUGAGGUCCACCUGAGGAGAGUAUGUCUAAACAGGCCAUUGGCAUUUCCUGCUUGCAAAUGACCACAUUUCAUGAAACGAAACCAGGCCACAGACAGGAACCAAAGGAAAUCAGUUACUUAAUGGAAGAUAAGGGAUCCAUAAAGUGAAAAAGGUAAAGAAGAAAAAAGAGGCAGCUUCAACACUCCAACUCCACGGAAGCAGAACGACUCUCAGCUUUCUUAGGGGGUAGUCACUGAAAGUCUAGCUUGAAGAGGGUGAUUUCAUGAUCUACAUGUAAUAAGGCGCAUUUUUUUCUGAAAAGUACAGAAUGGUUCAUUUUCAGCUGUUAAAGAUGGGCCGGUUUUAGGGCUAGAGCAAGGCUCUGGUCAAAUGUUAACAACCCAGUUAUCCUGGGGAAAAAAUAACUGGCUCCCAGCCCUU